rnacentral:rRNA from 1 species
AUUGAACGCUGGCGGCAUGCCUUACACAUGCAAGUCGAACGGUAACAGGUCUUCGGAUGCUGACGAGUGGCGAACGGGUGAGUAAUACAUCGGAACGUGCCUAGUAGUGGGGGAUAACUACUCGAAAGAGUGGCUAAUACCGCAUGAGAUCUACGGAUGAAAGCAGGGGAUCGCAAGACCUUGUGCUACUAGAGCGGCCGAUGGCAGAUUAGGUAGUUGGUGGGAUAAAAGCUUACCAAGCCGACGAUCUGUAGCUGGACUGAGAGGACGAUCAGCCACACUGGGACUGAGACACGGCCCAGACUCCUACGGAAGGCAGCAGUGGGGAAUUUUGGACAAUGGGCGAAAGCCUGAUCCAGCAAUGCCGCGUGCAGGAUGAAGGCCUUCGGGUUGUAAACUGCUUUUGUACGGAACGAAAAGCCCCGGGUUAAUACCCUGGGGUCAUGACGGUACCGUAAGAAUAAGCACCGGCUAACUACGUGCCAGCCGCCGCGGUAA